GCAGAAUUAGUGUUAGCGGUAGCACGUCAGCCUUCCAAGCUGAAAGCACGGGUUCGAAUCCCGCAUUUUGCUCCA
rnacentral:tRNA from 1 species